UCUGACUCUUAGAACAACAGCAACAGUAACAAUGAAUCUAAGGAAUAAAGUUCACGUCCAAAUUCGCAAAAUGCUAACUGAGAAAAUUAUAAGGAUUAAAUUUCGUUAAGAUCCGCAAUAGAUGGAAUUACUUGGAAGUUUGUUGACUCAACUAGCCAUAGAUUCAAGAAGAGCUGUUGGAAAAAUCAGAUAUUAAGUUCUACCUACACUGGACGACUAUAACUUACCAAUUCAAGUCUGGACCUAGUUGAUUAAGAUUGGAACACACAUACACAAAUGAAGAACAUGAUUCACUGAAUUAACAUAGCCACAAAAAUAAAUUGCGAGCGAGUUGCAAAUUUAUUUAGCUCGAACCGGC